GAUGAACGCUGGCGGCGUGCCUAAUACAUGCAAGUCGAGCGAACGGACGAGAAGCUUGCUUCUCUUAUGUUAGCGGCGGACGGGUGAGUAACACGUGGAUAACCUACCUAUAAGACUGGGAUAACUUCGGGAAACCGGAGCUAAUACCGGAUAAUAUUUUGAACCGCAUGGUUCAAAAGUGAAAGACGGUCUUGCUGUCACUUAUAGAUGGAUCCGCGCUGCAUUAGCUAGUUGGUAAGGUAACGGCUUACCAAGGCAACGAUGCAUAUCCGACCUGAGAGGGUGAUCGGCCACACUGGAACUGAGACACGGUCCAGACUCCUACGGGAGGCAGCAGUAGGGAAUCUUCCGCAAUGGGCGAAAGCCUGACGGAGCAACGGCGCGUGAGUGAUGAAGGUCUUCGGAUCGUAAAACUCUGUUAUUAGGGAAGAACAUAUGUGUAAGUAACUGUGCACAUCUUGACGGUACCUAAUCAGAAAGCAACGGCUAACUACGUG
rnacentral:rRNA from 1 species